ACACUGUUGCGAUGCGAUUUU
rnacentral:siRNA from 1 species